UUAAAACUUACAUGAGAUAAGACCUGCCUG
rnacentral:piRNA from 1 species